AUUGAACGCUGGCGGCAGGCCUAACACAUGCAAGUCGAACGAGUGGCGGACGGGUGAGUAAUGUCUGGGAAACUGCCCGAUGGAUGGGGAUAACUACUGGAAACGGUAGCUAAUACCGCAUAACAUCGGAUUUGGCCAGAUGGGGUUAGCUUGUAGGUGAGGUAACGGCUCACCUAGGCGACGAUCCCUAGCUGGACUGAGAGGAUGACCAGCCACACUGGAACUGAGACACGGUCCAGACUCCUACGGGAGGCAGCAGUAGGGAAUAUUGCACAAUGGGCGCAAGCCUGAUGCAGCCAUGCCGCGUGUAUGAAGAAGGCCUUCGGGUUGUAAAGUACUUUCAGCGGGGAGGCGUUACCCGCAGAAGAAGCACCGGCUAACUCCGUGCCAGCAGCCGCGGUAAUAC
rnacentral:rRNA from 1 species